rnacentral:tRNA from 1 species
GAACCCAUGGCGCAGCGGUAGCGCGUCUGAUUCCAGAAUACUUAGGUGUUUCCAGAAGGUCAUCCGUUCAAAUCGGGUUGGGUUCA